rnacentral:rRNA from 1 species
UACGGAGGAUGCAAGCGUUAUCCGGAAUGAUUGGGCGUAAAGCGUCCGCAGGUGGCUAUGUAAGUCUGCUGUUAAAGAGUGAGGCUCAACCUCAUAAGAGCAGUGGAAACUACAUGGCUAGAGUGCGUUCGGGGCAGAGGGAAUUCCUGGUGUAGCGGUGAAAUGCGCAGAUAUCGGGAAGAACACCCGUGGCGAAGGCGGCUCUCUGGGACGGUACUGACGCUGAGACGCGAAAGCGUGGGGAGCGAACAGG